GCUGGAGUAGCUUAAUUGGUUAGAGGGUGUGGCUGAUAGCAACAAGGUUGAAGGUUCAAGUCCUUCGUUUAGUG
rfam:Ipomoea nil DNA, scaffold: scaffold0164, cultivar: Tokyo-kokei standard.